AGAGUUUGAUCAUGGCUCAGGAUGAACGCUAGCUACAGGCUUAACACAUGCAAGUCGAGGGGAAACGACAUCGAAAGCUUGCUUUUGAUGGGCGUCGACCGGCGCACGGGUGAGUAACGCGUAUCCAACCUGCCCACCACUUGGGGAUAACCUUGCGAAAGUAAGACUAAUACCCAAUGACGUCUCUAGAAGACAUCUGAAAGAGAUUAAAGAUUUAUCGGUGAUGGAUGGGGAUGCGUCUGAUUAGCUUGUUGGGCGGGGUAACGGCCGCCAAGGCUACGAUCAGUAGGGGUUCUGAGAGGAACGGUCCCCCANAUUGGAACUGAGACACGGUCCAAACUCCGUACGGGAGGCA
rnacentral:rRNA from 1 species